AGGUUGAAUCAGAAGAUCUGAAUGAUCACUCUCAAGGUGAUGAUGAUGAUGAUGAUGAUGAGGCUCUUCCUGAUAAAGAGGGGAGCGAUGAGGACGAGGAAAGAUCGGUGGAAAAGAAUGGCGAUCCAAAGGAGGAAAUGCCAAUGCAGAAGUCAUCAAGCAAAACUGUUAAGGAUACUUCAGGUUUAAAAGGCAAGGAGAAAACCACACUUCGCAAGAGCAGUGCCACCACUAAGGCCGUGAAGAGUACAUCAAGAUCUAACAAGUCAUCUGCUCCUUCAGCA
rnacentral:lncRNA from 1 species